GUCGAGCGAACAGACGAGGAGCUUGCUCCUCUGACGUUAGCGGCGGACGGGUGAGUAACACGUGGAUAACCUACCUAUAAGACUGGGAUAACUUCGGGAAACCGGAGCUAAUACCGGAUAAUAUAUUGAACCGCAUGGUUCAAUAGUGAAAGACGGUUUUGCUGUCACUUAUAGAUGGAUCCGCGCCGCAUUAGCUAGUUGGUAAGGUAACGGCUUACCAAGGCAACGAUGCGUAGCCGACCUGAGAGGGUGAUCGGCCACACUGGAACUGAGACACGGUCCAGACUCCUACGGGAGGCAGCAGUAGGGAAUCUUCCGCAAUGGGCGAAAGCCUGACGGAGCAACGCCGCGUGAGUGAUGAAGGUCUUCGGAUCGUAAAACUCUGUUAUUAGGGAAGAACAAAUGUGUAAGUAACUAUGCACGUCUUGACGGUACCUAAUCAGAAAGCCACGGCUAACUACGUGCCAGCAGCCGCGGUAAUACGUAGGUGGCAAGCGUUAUCCGGAAUUAUUGGGCGUAAAGCGCGCGUAGGCGGUUUUUUAAGUCUGAUGUGAAAGCCCACGGCUCAACCGUGGAGGGUCAUUGGAAACUGGAAAACUUGAGUGCAGAAGAGGAAAGUGGAAUUCCAUGUGUAGCGGUGAAAUGCGCAGAGAUAUGGAGGAACACCAGUGGCGAAGGCGACUUUCUGGUCUGUAACUGACGCUGAUGUGCGAAAGCGUGGGGAUCAAACAGGAUUAGAUACCCUGGUAGUCCACGCCGUAAACGAUGAGUGCUAAGUGUUAGGGGGUUUCCGCCCCUUAGUGCUGCAGCUAACGCAUUAAGCACUCCGCCUGGGGNGUACGACCGCAAGGUUGAAACUCAAAGGAAUUGACGGGGACCCGCACAAGCGG
rnacentral:rRNA from 1 species